rnacentral:rRNA from 1 species
AUUGAACGCUGGCGGCAGGCUUAACACAUGCAAGUCGAACGAUGACUCUCUAGCUUGCUAGAGAAGAUUAGUGGCGGACGGGUGAGUAGCAUUUAGGAAUCUGCCUAGUAGUGGGGGAUAGCUCGGGGAAACUCGAAUUAAUACCGCAUACGACCUACGGGUGAAAGGGGGCGCAAGCUCUUGCUAUUAGAUGAGCCUAAAUCAGAUUAGCUAGUUGGUGGGGUAAAGGCCUACCAAGGCGACGAUCUGUAACUGGUCUGAGAGGAUGAUCAGUCACACCGGAACUGAGACACGGUCCGGACUCCUACGGGAGGCAGCAGUGGGGAAUAUUGGACAAUGGGGGCAACCCUGAUCCAGCCAUGCCGCGUGUGUGAAGAAGGCCUUUUGGUUGUAAAGCACUUUAAGCAGGGAGGAGAGGCUAAUGGUUAAUACCCAUUAGAUUAGACGUUACCUGCAGAAUAAGCACCGGCUAACUCUGUGCCAGCAGCCGCGGUAAUACAGAGGGUGCGAGCGUUAAUCGGAAUUACUGGGCGUAAAGCGAGUGUAGGUGGCUCAUUAAGUCACAUGUGAAAUCCCCGGGCUUAACCUGGGAACUGCAUGUGAUACUGGUGGUGCUAGAAUAUGUGAGAGGGAAGUAGAAUUCCAGGUGUAGCGGUGAAAUGCGUAGAGAUCUGGAGGAAUACCGAUGGCGAAGGCAGCUUCCUGGCAUAAUAUUGACACUGAGAUUCGAAAGCGUGGGUAGCAAACAGGAUUAGAUACCCUGGUAGUCCACGCCGUAAACGAUGUCUACUAGCCGUUGGGGUCCUUGAGACUUUAGUGGCGCAGUUAACGCGAUAAGUAGACCGCCUGGGGAGUACGGCCGCAAGGUUAAAACUCAAAUGAAUUGACGGGGGCCCGCACAAGCGGUGGAGCAUGUGGUUUAAUUCGAUGCAACGCGAAGAACCUUACCUGGUCUUGACAUAGUGAGAAUCUCUCAGAGAUGAGAGAGUGCCUUCGGGAACUCACAUACAGGUGCUGCAUGGCUGUCGUCAGCUCGUGUCGUGAGAUGUUGGGUUAAGUCCCGCAACGAGCGCAACCCUUUUCCUUAUUUGCCAGCGGGUUAAGCCGGGAACUUUAAGGAUACUGCCAGUGACAAACUGGAGGAAGGCGGGGACGACGUCAAGUCAUCAUGGCCCUUACGACCAGGGCUACACACGUGCUACAAUGGUAGGUACAGAGGGUUGCUACACAGCGAUGUGAUGCUAAUCUCAAAAAGCCUAUCGUAGUCCGGAUUGGAGUCUGCAACUCGACUCCAUGAAGUCGGAAUCGCUAGUAAUCGCGGAUCAGAAUGCCGCGGUGAAUACGUUCCCGGGCCU